rnacentral:lncRNA from 1 species
CACACAAGAAACACAUGUAUCUUCUUUGCCUCCCCAUCAAUUAAACAUACAAACAAACACACUUCACUCACCCUCACCCUCACCCUCUCGAUUCCCCCCUUCCCUCUCCGAUGAAACCGCCGGCAAGGAGCCGAUGGCUCCGACCACCCAUAACACACCCCCUCUUCCAAUCUCAGUUACUUAGACCCACACACCUCAAACACCCCCCCUCCGGUGAUUGGCAUACGACGGCUGAACGAGAGAGAGAGAAUAGAUCAGGACGCGACGAGAAUCAGAAGAGAUGAGAGAGAGGCUGGAGCGAGAGAGAGAAACAGCGGGGUGCAGUUUCUGGUGAUGAUCCGCCACUGGCGGCGGAGCCGCAGCGGUGGCGGUGGCGGUUUUGGUUCCGACAAGCUUCCAAGCGGGUUCAGGUUGCGUUUGGCUCAGACUUGGUGAAGAUUCGAGAUGUGUUUUGGCUUGGGUUCGAGCUAUGUUCGGGAAACCGAGUUAUAAUUUAGGUCAGUGGUUCAAAAUGUUCAGAUUUGUGUUGAGUGUUUCAGGAUCUACUCGGAUCAACCACAAGUGUGUUUAGGUCAGAUUCAGCCGGUUCGAGUAUGGUUCAAAGUUUAAGGUUCGGGUCAAGUUUUUGGUGCGGUCAACUUUGGUCAACAGAUUGGUUCGGGUCAACUGGUCAACGGGUUUGGGUCAAGCGGCUUCAGUCAGACUCAGUUAUGGUUUCGGUCGACUCGGUCAAACAUGGUCAAAACAGUUAGUUGACUCGGUCAACUCAACCGGUCAACUCAGUUGACUCAGUCAACUCAGUCAGCAUGUUCGGCAUAUCAACACGCGAGAGAUGGGAUAUUGUAGAAUGCACCCUAGUGAGUCACGUCUUGGAAACGACAUCAUGAAGUUGUAUUUAGCUAGCUUAGCACAAGGAUAUCCAGCCGAUUGAAGAAUAAUCGAAGAUCUUAGGUUUCUUAUUCCAAAAUCCACUGUACGAAUAUACUGAUUAUUCGAACAAUCACGGUAUCAAUAUACUGAUUAUUCGAACAAUCAUGGUUUUCAAGACGAUGGAAAGUUCGUCAAGGUAAUUUAUUAGUAUCAGCAGGUUAUAAGUUUUAAUUUUGUGUUUGAUAUCUAGAUUUUGUAUUGAUGAUUUCUCAUGUUUGAUUACUAAUUUUGUGUUUUGAUUUUUGAAAUCCCGUUCCUCACUUUUGCCUCCUCAUCUACACCCUCUCAUCUAUCACUCUCCCGCCACCUCCGUCAGCCACGGCUUCCGCCGACAACCGCCACUCCAUUCCCCUCUGUUUUAAGAUCACUCUGUCUUCCUCUCAUAUUGAAAUAUCUCUAUUACCAGUAUCGUUUUACCGACGGUUUUCUCGAUUCGUUGCCGCGGAAGGAGGUGGAGCCACAUGUCGUGAAUGAAGUUAUUGCUCCGAGCUUAAGGAUUUUUGGAAGGCUGGUGAUUUUGAUGAGUUUUGGAUGGUGAUUGUGAUACAAGUCUGGUGAGUGUUAAUGUGUUUGAUAUUUGGGGAUUUGUUUUAAUUUUAUGAUGUCAGAGUGAAUGUUUGUAGAUUAUUUACUAAUUUUGUUUACCUGAUUGAGAUUUUAGGUUAAUUUUUAUUUGAUUCUGAGUUUUUGACAAGUCUUAAGUGAAUAUCAGGGGAUUUUGUGAAAGUUAAUUGUGAUUAGUAGAAUUUAUUGAUGUUAGAAGCAAAUGUUUGAAAGUUUGAUCGUUAUGUUAUCGAUAAAAUAAGUCAGCUAUGUGCUAUAUAAUUUGAAAGGAGCAAGUACAAGUAAGGAAAAAAUGUUAGAAAUGUGUGAAUGCUUUAUUUCAUUUUCGUGUUUGUUUGAUGCAGCAUAUGCAUCAAGUAGUUAUGUGCUAAUUCAUAUUUUAGUUAGUCAGAUGGAUGUUGUUGCAGAACUCAAUAAGGUCUUCUACCACUUUUUAAAGUUAAUAUCUUGCUAUGUGCUAAUUCAUAUUUUAAUUGUUCAUUUCUAUUGGUUUUUGGUUUUGUUCAUUUUGAUUUCUAUAUGUUCUGUUUCAAUAAGAAAGCAUCAUAUUUGAAAUUUUAUUUUAUUUCCCAAAACUACGUUCGUUUAACAUGCUAUUAUACAUCUUCAUUUUUUAUCCAUGGUUAUUUUCAUUAGAUUUAUAUAUGUCCGUUUGCGCACAAAAUGGUUCAAUUUUUUUUUAAAGUAGGGCGCUCUUCGAGUUUUUUUAAUCGGGUUUACCGGGUCGUUUUAUUCGUGUUGUCAAUGGUGGGAAUAUAAGUUGAAAAACAAACCAUUUUAUAUUCGGGCUUUGGGGUUAUCGGGUUAUCGGGUCGGUGUAAUUCAGGUUCAGUUUAGUUAAAUAGAUGGAAAUGGAUACUGCCAUUCAAAUAUGCAUUGGUAUACUAAAUUCCAUAUUUAUCCUAUAAUUUACUAAUUUUUGGGGUUGUUAGAGUAUUAAUUAAUGAGAUUUGUGUUUUUAUAGUUUCUAUUCUUUUGUAACUUACUAAUUUUCUAUAUAGGUAUUGAUUAAUUGGUAUUAAUUAAUUGGUGUUAAUCAAUUAAUUAGUUCAAUAUAGAUAUAGAUAUAAACGAUGAUAGUUAAUUGUCAACCUUUCCUAUGAAAUAAGUUAUACCUAUGGAAGUUUUUUGAAUUUAACAUUCCAUUUACAUUUUCAACUGGCAAUUAUAACUUCCAUAAUAAAAUUGCGAUAUUUUUGAGAUUUGAAUUCGAAUUGUUAUGAGAGUUACUAAAUUAUGUCCGAUAUUUUUGGUAACUGGCCCUCUCUUCCCAUUAUGCGAAUUGACCACGUUCUUAAUGUUAAUACAUUACAUUUAUAUGAUUUCAGUUACAUUUUAAUUUGAAUUUUGUUUCAAUUUGGAAUCUGUAACAAAUAUUACGUGCAAUAUAUAAUCAGAAGUUAGUUUGAAUUUGUAUUUGGAAUUGAAAAGAGCAAUACCACAGGUCUAAUUUGUGUUCGACCUCAGAGCUGUUCUAUUUUGUCUUGCAAUGGUUCAGUUGUACAACAAAACCGAAAAUGAUUAUGGUUGAAUGUAGAAGGUGGAUUAUAUAUGGACUCAUAUGACGUCGUCUUAUGAGUGGAAAUUUGUUAUGUGAAAGAGCAUUUUCGUCAAUUCAGUUUGUGGCUUUUUUACUAUGCACGGGUUACGACCAUUGAUGAAGUUUAAACAACAAACUGAUUCACUGCAAUGAAUGAGAUAUUUAACAAGGGCGAACUAUUGGGUUGAAUGAAAAUCAAUUAAAUACCAGGAAGACAAGGUUCUAUGAGCUGAUGAAACUAUAUACAAAGUUUCCGGGAUGCUACAAAGUAGACAGCUUCAGUCACUUCGAUGGUUUUUUUAGUGUAUUCGAAAUUCAAGGUCAAAAAGAUACUCAAAGUUGGUUUAUCGCUAUGAAGGAAGAUGCUCAAAGUUGGUGUAUCGCUACGAAGGAUUUGGUAUAUAUGAUAGGCUUCUCAUACUCUAAAGUGCUCACUGUGUUCUAAAUGUUUGUGUAAGAUGAAGAAUUACUUAUUAGCAUUCAGCUUUAGUGUAUCACUUACCAGGCUUCACACACUCCAAAGUGCUCACUAUGUUCUAAAUAUUUGUGUAAGAUGAAGAAUUACUUAUUAGCAUUCACUUUAGUGUAUCACUUACUCAUGCUUAUAUUUAUGCAUGUACUUAUUAAGGAUUAGUGGAUUGUAAUAUUUCAAUACAUGGUGGACACGAUAUGCCAGCCCUACAUAUCUUCUU